rnacentral:rRNA from 1 species
AAUUCGAUUGUUUCAGCCGCCGCGGUAAUACGGAGGAUGCGAGCGUUAUCCGGAUUUAUUGGGUUUAAAGGGUGGGUAGGCGGAUUAAUAAGUCAGUGGUGAAAACCUGGAGCUUAACUGUAGAAUUGCCAUUGAUACUGUUAGUCUUGAGUACGGUCAAGGUAGGGGGAAUGUGUAAUGGAGCGGUGAAAUGGUUAGAUAUUACACAGAACACCGAUUGGGAAGGGAGCUUACUGGGCCAUUACUGACGCUGAUGGACGAAAGCGUGGGGAGCGAACAGGAUUAGAUACCCUGGUAGUCCACGCCGUAAACGAUGAUCACUCGCUGUUAGCGAUACACAGUUAGCGGGUAAGCAAAAGCAUUAAGUGAUCCACCUGGGGAGUACGGUCGCAAGACUGAAACUCAAAGGAAUUGACGGGGGCCCGCACAAGCGGAGGAACAUGUGGUUUAAUUCGAUGAUACGCGAGGAACCUUACCUGGGCUUAAAUGUAGAGUGGAUGAGGUAGAAAUACUUCUUUCCUUCGGGACUCUUUGCAAGGUGCUGCAUGGUUGUCGUCAGCUCGUGCCGUGAGGUGUCGGGUUAAGUCCCAUAACGAGCGCAACCCUUAUCGUUAGUUGCCACCGGGUAAUGCCGGGAACUCUAACGAAACUGCCGGUGUAAACCGUGAGGAAGGUGGGGAUGACGUCAAAUCAGCACGGCCCUUAUGUCCAGGGCUACACACGUGUUACAAUGGCCGGUACAGAGGCCAGCUACCUGGAGACAGGAUGCGAAUCUCCAAAGCCGGUCUCAGUUCGGAUCGGAGUCUGCAACUCGACUCCGUGAAGCUGGAUUCGCUAGUAAUCGCGCAUCAGCCAUGGCGCGGGGAAUACGUUCCCGGCCCUUGUACACACCGCCCGUCAAACA